rnacentral:rRNA from 1 species
UACGAAGGGGACUAGCGUUGUUCGGAAUUACUGGGCGUAAAGCGCACGUAGGCGGUUUUGUUAGUCAGGGGUGAAAUCCCGGGGCUCAACCUCGGAACUGCCUUUGAUACUGCAAGUCUCGAGUCCGAUAGAGGUGGGUGGAAUUCCUAGUGUAGAGGUGAAAUUCGUAGAUAUUAGGAACAACACCGGUGGCGAAGGCGGCCCACUGGAUCGGUACUGACGCUGAGACGCGAAAGCGUGGGGAGCGAACAGG